rnacentral:lncRNA from 1 species
UUGCCAUAAACACAUGUACACACCAGUUGUUAUUAUCUGGUUUGAGGCACAUACUAUAUAUUCUGCUGUCCAUAGGAGAAGAAUGCAUGUGACAGUGAUCACUUGCAUUGAAUUGAUUGAGCUUUGCAUUUGUUAAUGGCAUGUGACCCUGUAGAAUGACAUUUAUAAUAAGAUGAAGUGACAGCAAACUUGAUAAUUACUAGUUGACAACAAGUGGUCCAUCUUUGUCCCUGCUUCUUCUGUAGUUACUUACUGCAAUAAAUUUCUCUUUCAUUUUCUACUGAACCUAAUAUGUCUAACCAAACCCUUAUCUUUGCUUUUCC